AUUGAACGCUGGCGGCAUGCUUUACACAUGCGAGUCGAACGGUAACAGCACUUCGGUGGCUGACGAGUGGCGAACGGGUGAGUAAUACAUCGGAACGUGCCUAGUAGUGGGGGAUAACUACUCGAAAGAGUAGCUAAUACCGCAUGAGAUCUAAGGAUGAAAGCAGGGGACCUUCGGGCCUUGCGCUACUAGAGCGGCUGAUGGCAGAUUAGGUAGUUGGUGGGAUAAAAGCUUACCAAGCCGACGAUCUGUAGCUGGCCUGAGAGGACGACCAGCCACACUGGGACUGAGACACGGCCCAGACUCCUACGGGAGGCAGCAGUGGGGAAUUUUGGACAAUGGGCGCAAGCCUGAUCCAGCAAUGCCGCGUGCAGGAUGAAGGCCUUCGGGUUGUAAACUGCUUUUGUACGGAACGAAAAGCCCUCUUCUAAUACAGGAGGGUCAUGACGGUACCGUAAGAAUAAGCACCGGCUAACUACGUG
rnacentral:rRNA from 1 species